rnacentral:rRNA from 1 species
CGGGUGAGUAACACGUAUCCAACCUUCCGUUUACUCAGGGAUAGCCUUUCGAAAGAAAGAUUAAUACCUGAUAGUAUGGUGAGAUUGCAUGAUAGCACCAUUAAAGAUUUAUUGGUAAACGAUGGGGAUGCGUUCCAUUAGGUAGUAGGCGGGGUAACGGCCCACCUAGCCGACGAUGGAUAGGGGUUCUGAGAGGAAGGUCCCCCACAUUGGAACUGAGACACGGUCCAAACUCCUACGGGAGGCAGCAGUGAGGAAUAUUGGUCAAUGGGCGAGAGCCUGAACCAGCCAAGUAGCGUGAAGGAUGAAGGUCCUACGGAUUGUAAACUUCUUUUAUACGGGAAUAAAGUAUCCUACGUGUAGGAUUUUGUAUGUACCGUAUGAAUAA